rnacentral:lncRNA from 1 species
UUUUUUUUUUUUUUGAAAAUGGCAUCUCUGUUUGUUACACCACCGUAAAUGCGUCAUUUUAAAUUUUUUAAUCUUAAUUAAACAUACAAAAUAGCUUAAUUAAUUAAAUUAAUAAUAUUAGUUUAAAUUCAAAAUCUUUAAGUUUACAUCCAAAAAUCUAGAUUUUUAUGCUCAUCUUCUACAACCAUAAAUCCCUACAAUCACUCUAUAUUCUUCAACCUCACUCCUUACCCCAUCAUCACCUUUUUCCUUCGUCACCCACCCACACCAACAACCAACCAUUUCUUUCUCAACAACAACUACAAACCCAUAAAAACAACUCAAAAUUAGCACAAAAUUAGAAAACCCCAAAAUUCCAAGAUCCGGAAAUUGAACCAAAUUAAAACCCAAUAUCUGGAAAUAAAGAAGGUCCGCGCGAUGAUGAUGUUGAGAAUCAAUUUUUGAGAGAUUUAUCUCCGAUUUAUAAAUAGAAGACAUUGAAGUCGUAGAU